AGCGUAGGCGGACAUUUAAGUCAGGGGUGAAAUCCCGGGGCUCAACCUCGGAAUUGCCUUUGAUACUGGGUGUCUUGAGUAUGAGAGAGGUGUGUGAACUCCGAGUGUGGAGGUAGAAAUUCGUAGAUAUUCGGAAGAACACCAGUGGCGAAGGCGACACACUGGCUCAUUACUGACGCUGAGGUGACGAAAGCGGUGGGGAGCAAACGA
rnacentral:rRNA from 1 species